UACCAUGCAGUCGAGCGAAGGGAGUACUACGGUACGAACUUAGCGGCGGACGGGUGAGUAACGCGUGGACAAUCUACCCUGUAGACUGGGAUAACACCUCGAAAGGGGUGCUAAUACCGGAUAAUGUCGAGAAGCGGCAUCGCUUUUCGAAGAAAGGAGGGAAUCCGCUAUAGGAGGAGUCCGCGUCCCAUUAGCUAGUUGGUGAGGGUAACGGCCCACCAAGGCGACGAUGGGUAGCCGGCCUGAGAGGGUGAACGGCCACACUGGAACUGAGACACGGUCCAGACUCCUACGGGAGGCAGCAGUGGGGAAUAUUGUGCAAUGGGGGAAACCCUGACACAGCGACGCCGCGUGAGUGAAGAAGGCCUUCGGGUCGUAAAGCUCAAUAGUAUGGGAAGAAAGAAAUGACGGUACCAUACGAAAGCCCCGGCUAACUACGUGCCAGCAGCCGCGGUAAUACGUAGGGGGCGAGCGUUGUCCGGAAUUACUGGGCGUAAAGAGCACGUAGGCGGCUAUAAAAGUCAGAUGUGAAAAACCUGGGCUCAACCGAGGGUAUGCAUCUGAAACUAAAUAGCUUGAGUCAAGGAGAGGAGAGCGGAAUUCCUGGUGUAGCGGUGAAAUGCGUAGAGAUCAGGAAGAAUACCAGUGGCGAAAGCGGCUCUCUGGACUUGAACUGACGCUGAGGUGCGAAAGCGUG
rnacentral:rRNA from 1 species